rnacentral:rRNA from 1 species
AUUGAACGCUGGCGGCAUGCUUUACACAUGCAAGUCGAACGGCAGCACGGGGGCGAACCCUGGUGGCGAGUGGCGAACGGGUGAGUAAUACAUCGGAACGUGUCCUAUUGUGGGGGAGUAACCAGUCGAAAGAUUGGCUAAUACCGCAUGAGCUGGAGACAGGAAAGCGGGGGACCCGCAAGGGCCUCGCGCGAUUGGAGCGGCCGAUGUCCGAUUAGCUAGUAGGAGGGUUAAAGGCCUACCUAGGCGACGAUCGGUAGCUGGUCUGAGAGGAUGAUCAGCCACACUGGGACUGAGACACGGCCCAGACUCCUACGGGAGGCAGCAGUGGGGAAUUUUGGGACAAUGGGGGCAACCCUGAUCCAGCCAUGCCGCGUGAGUGAAGAAGGCCUCGGUGU